AGCGAACGCUGGCGGCAGGCUUAACACAUGCAAGUCGAGCGGGCCCUUCGGGGUCAGCGGCAGACGGGUGAGUAACACGUGGGAACGUACCCUUUGGUUCGGAAUAACGCUGGGAAACUAGCGCUAAUACCGGAUACGCCCUUUUGGGGAAAGGCUUGCUGCCGAAGGAUCGGCCCGCGUCUGAUUAGCUAGUUGGUGGGGUAAUGGCCUACCAAGGCGACGAUCAGUAGCUGGUCUGAGAGGAUGAUCAGCCACACUGGGACUGAGACACGGCCUAGACUCCUACGGGAGGCAGCAGUGGGGAAUAUUGGACAAUGGGCGCAAGCCUGAUCCAGCCAUGCCGCGUGAGUGAUGAAGGCCUUAGGGUUGUAAAGCUCUUUUGUCCGGGACGAUAAUGACGGUACCGGAAGAAUAAGCCCCGGCUAACUUCGUG
rnacentral:rRNA from 1 species